GACGAACGCUGGAGGCGUGCUUAACACAUGCAAGUCGAACGAUGAAAUGGAGCUUGCUCCAUGGAUUAGUGGCGAACGGGUGAGUAACACGUGAAUAACCUGCCCUUAAUUUUGGAAUAACCCAGGGAAACCUGGGCUAAUACCGGAUAAGUAAACCUGUGGCAUCACAGGGUUUUGGAAAGUUUUUCGAUUAAGGAUGGAUUCGCGGCCUAUCAGCUUGUUGGUGAGGUAAUGGCUCACCAAGGCGACGACGGGUAGCCGGCCUGAGAGGGUGAACGGCCACACUGGGACUGAGACACGGCCCAGACUCCUACGGGAGGCAGCAGUGGGGAAUAUUGCGCAAUGGACGAAAGUCUGACGCAGCGACGCCUCGUGAGGGACGAAGGUCUCCGGAUUGUAAACCUCUUUCAGCAGGGACGAAGCGAAAGUGACGGUACCUGCAGAAGAAGCACCGGCUAACUAUGUGCCAGCCGCCGCAGUAA
rnacentral:rRNA from 1 species